AGAGUUUGAUCCUGGCUCAGAUUGAACGCUGGCGGCAUGCCUUACACAUGCAAGUCGAACGGCAGCACGGGUGCUUGCACCUGGUGGCGAGUGGCGAACGGGUGAGUAAUAUAUCGGAACGUACCUUAUCGUGGGAGAUAACGCAGCGAAAGCUGCGCUAAUACCGCAUACGCCCUGAGGGGGAAAGCGGGGGACCGUAAGGCCUCGCGCGAUUAGAGCGGCCGAUAUCUGAUUAGCUUGUUGGUGGGGUAAAAGCCCACCAAGGCGACGAUCAGUAGCUGGUCUGAGAGGACGAUCAGCCACACUGGGACUGAGACACGGCCCAGACUCCUACGGGAGGCAGCAGUGGGGAAUUUUGGACAAUGGGGGCAACCCUGAUCCAGCAAUGCCGCGUGAGUGAAGAAGGCCUUCGGGUUGUAAAGCUCUUUUGUCAGGGAAGAAACAGCAGCUCUAACACAGUCUGCGAAUGACGGUACCUGAAGAAUAAGCACCGGCUAACUACGUGCCAGCAGCCGCGGUAAUACGUAGGGUGCAAGCGUUAAUCGGAAUUACUGGGCGUAAAGCGUGCGCAGGCGGUUAUACAAGACAGGCGUGAAAUCCCCGGG
rnacentral:rRNA from 1 species